AGUGAACGCUGGCGGUAGGCCUAACACAUGCAAGUCGAACGGCAGCACAGGAGAGCUUGCUCUCUGGGUGGCGAGUGGCGGACGGGUGAGGAAUACAUCGGAAUCUACUUUUUCGUGGGGGAUAACGUAGGGAAACUUACGCUAAUACCGCAUACGACCUACGGGUCAAAGCAGGGGAUCUUCGGACCUUGCGCGAUUGAAUGAGCCGAUGUCGGAUUAGCUAGUUGGCGGGGUAAAGGCCCACCAAGGCGACGAUCCGUAGCUGGUCUGAGAGGAUGAUCAGCCACACUGGAACUGCGACACGGUCCAGACUCCUACGGGAGGCAGCAGUGGGGAAUAUUGGACAAUGGGCGCAAGCCUGAUCCAGCCAUACCGCGUGGGUGAAGAAGGCCUUCGGGUUGUAAAGCCCUUUUGUUGGGAAAGAAAUCCAGCUGGCUAAUACCCGGUUGGGAUGACGGUACCCAAAGAAUAAGCACCGGCUAACUUCGUGCCAGCCGCCGCCGUAA
rnacentral:rRNA from 1 species